GAUGAAGAACGCAGCGAAAUGCGAUACGUAAUGUGAAUUGCAGAAUUCAGUGAAUCAUCGAAUCUUUGAACGCAUAUUGCGCUCUUUGGUAUUCCGAAGAGCAUGCUUGUUUGAGUAUCAGUAAACACCUCAAAGCUUUUGGCUUUUUUAAUCGAAAAGCUUUGGACUUGAGCAAUCCCAACACCAAUCUUUUUGAGAUCGGUGGCGGGUUGCUUGAAAUGCAGGUGCAGCUGGACAUUCUCCUGAGCUAAAAGCAUAUUCAUUUAGUCCCGUCAAACGGAUUAUUACUUUUGCUGCAGCUAACAUAAAGGGAGUUUGACCGUAUUGGCUGACUGAUGCAGGAUUUCACAAGGGUCGGCAACGAUUCUUGUUAAACUCGAUCUCAAAUCAAGUAAGACUACCCGCUGAACUUAAGCAUAUCAAUAAGCGGAGGA
rnacentral:misc_RNA from 1 species